GCCGGGUGACAGCGCUGUCUCGCCCCAGGUGCCGGCGCUGCACCAGGUGGCGUCAAUGAAGCGCAGCCCGAGGAAGAUGCGGCGCCCUGGAGAAAAGGAGACCCCGGGCGAUUGUCUAUGAGGUUGUGCCAUACGAUGCCGGGGACUGCAAGGUAUCGCUUAAGGAAAAGGUCAAUUUGAGUGGAUGGAGAUGUUCCCUGAAGAUUUCCUUCCUGGAGGUAACAAAACAUUACAAUGCAUCUUCUAGAAAUCCUUCAAGCCAUUCAAUUCACUGGAAAGAGUGGAACAAAGUGAUUCUUAAAGUACUGAAUGCAAUUAUUAUGGAUGAUUAUGGAAAUAGCCUUCUGCACUGUGCUGUAGAAGAAAACCAAAUCGAAAGCGUUAAGUUUCUUCUCAGCAGAGGAGCAAACCCAAAGCUUCAAAACUUCAACAUGAUGGCGCCCCUCCACUUAGCUGUGCGGGGCACGCACAAUGAAGUGAUGAAGGUCUUGCUUGAGCAUAGAAGUACUGAUGUUAAUUUGGAAGGAGAAAAUGGAAACACAGCUGUGAUGAUGGCAUGCACCAAAAAUAAUAGUGAAGCACUGAAGAUUUUGAUUGGUUUGGCAGUUGGUGACACUGCUGAGGUCCAGAAACAUGCAUCAUUGAAGAGGAUAGCUAUGCAGUUUAGGUGGAACUUCAUACCAGCUUAGAAACAACGCUGUCAUGCUGUUGCAUACGCAAAGUGGAUCGGAAAUCCACCACCAUAUAUCCCAACAAACCCAGAUGUGGUGGAACAUUAUUUUUUUAGUGAAGUGAUGGCAGAAGACAGAAGACAGGAAGAUGUGGGCUACCCCUUGUCAUUUCCAGCUCCAGACCCUGGAACAAAAGGAGUCCAGCAUUUUCACAGGUAUCCGGGGUAAAAGGAGAUAUGAUCCUGAACUGCCCAUCAGGAAACCGCCGAGGGAAGAAGCGCCCUCUAGGGGUGUGAUUGAUAUUGAACUGGAACCAGAAGACCUCAUUGACUGAGACCUCCAUUGUGUGCAGGAGGAUCUCUCAUCUCAGGAAAACCUACAGUGAUGUUACCUGUGGUGCUGCUCCUCUUUCUUUUGAGACUUAUUGGGCAUCUGCAAGUUCAAAGGCAGGUGGUGGUACUUAUUUAAAGGUUUCAAUGUUAAUUGCCACGGAAUAAGAUAGGCUGCCAAUACAUAGAUACACAAAUCAGGUGUAUAAAGCAGUACGGUAGUCCUCCCUUAUCCCCCGUUUCUCUUUAUGAAGUUUCAGUUAUCCGUGGUCAACCACAAUCAGAAAAUAGGUGGGUACAGUACAGUAAGAUAUUUUAAGAGAGAGCAAGACACUACAGUCACAUAAACUUUAUUACAACAUAUAGUUAUAUAAUUGCUCUAUUUUAUUAUUAGGUAUUAUCUUCUCUUUUGCCAAAUUUGUAAAUUAAACUUUAUUAUA